AGUGAACGCUGGCGGUAGCCCUAACACAUGCAAGUCGAACGGCAGCACAGUAAGAGCUUGCUCUUACGGGUGGCGAGUGGCGGACGGGUGAGGAAUACAUCGGAAUCUACUUUUUCGUGGGGGAUAACGUAGGGAAACUUACGCUAAUACCGCAUACGACCUACGGGUGAAAGCAGGGGAUCUUCGGACCUUGCGCGAUUGAAUGAGCCGAUGUCGGAUUAGCUAGUUGGCGGGGUAAAGGCCCACCAAGGCGACGAUCCGUAGCUGGUCUGAGAGGAUGAUCAGCCACACUGGAACUGAGACACGGUCCAGACUCCUAAGGGAGGCAGCAGUGGGGAAUAUUGGACAAUGGGCGGAAGCCUGAUCCAGCCAUACCGCGUGGGUGAAGAAGGCCUUCGGGUUGUAAAGCCCUUUUGUUGGGAAAGAAAAGCAGCAGGUUAAAACCCCGCUGUUCUGACGGUACCCAAAGAAUAAGCACCGGCUAACUUCGUG
rnacentral:rRNA from 1 species